UACGUAGGGUGCGAGCGUUAAUCGGAAUACUGGGCGUAAAGCGUGCGCAGGCGGUUCGUUAAGUUCGUUGUGAAAGCCCCGGGCUCAACCUGGGAACUGCAAUGGAAACUGGCGGGCUUGAGUGUGGCAGAGGGGGGUGGAAUUCCGCGUGUAGCAGUGAGAUGCGUAGAGAUGCGGAGAACACCGAUGGCGAAGGCAGCCCCUGGCCAACACUGACGCCUGAUGCGCGAAAGCGUGGGAGCAAACAGG
rnacentral:rRNA from 1 species